AUGUGCACCAUUUUAUCAAACUUACCUGCAAAAGAGGCUGUAAGGUCAAGUGUUUUGUCCAGUGAGUGGAGAUCUAUAUGGACAACUUGCCCCAAACUGAGUUUCAAUGGUAAGGAUCAUGUGCCUAGGCAUGGAGGGAAACAACAUGCACAGAUGUUCAUAGACCAUAUUAAUGCAGUCUUGAAAAAGCACCACGGCAAGGUUGUUGACAAUCUUGAGAUCAAAUUUGUAUUUGAGAGCAAGCUAGUUUAUCAUCUCAACAGUUGGAUAAGGUUUGCAAUGUCCUCCCGGACUAAGAAUCUAUCUUUUGAUUUGGCACCACUGCCUGAAUUUUGGAAAUAUAGGAAUCAUUACAGGUUCCCAUUUGAACUUUUAGACAAGGAUAGUGUAUCCUGUCUACGAUGUCUUUAA
rnacentral:rRNA from 1 species